rnacentral:rRNA from 2 species
AACGACUCUCGGCAACGGAUAUCUCGGCUCUCGCAUCGAUGAAGAACGUAGCGAACUGCGAUACUUGGUGUGAAUUGCAGAAUCCCGUGAACCAUCGAGUCUUUGAACGCAAGUUGCGCCCGAAGCCAUCAGGCCGAGGGCACGUCUGCCUGGGCGUCACGCA